UCCACGAAAUCUGCAUUCAUAUACUAUCCAUUUCCUGCUUCUUCUGAUGGAGAACAAGAGAUCGUGUAAAUUUUGAAGAUUAAUUCAAAAUUUGACUAUCAAUAAAAAUAAUUAAAUUGGUUUUGUUAAACCUUCUGGCCCAAACCUAUCUCUAGCCAAACCCAAAGCAAGAGUUCUGUAUCAAAAAGACACUGUGUGUAAGGUUUUUCGCCGCGCACUUACGCGGCUGGCAAAAGAAUACUGUAAUCACCCUCCCCGCUUUAAGGGGCCUGCGGAAGGAUCAUUACAGUAUUCUUUUGCCAGCGCUUAACUGCGCGGCGAAAAACCUUACACACAGUGUCUUUUUGAUACAGAACUCUUGCUUUGGUUUGGCCUAGAGAUAGGUUGGGCCAGAGGUUUAACAAAACACAAUUUAAUUAUUUUUAUUGAUAGUCAAAUUUUGAAUUAAUCUUCAAAACUUUCAACAACGGAUCUCUUGGUUCUCGCAUCGAUGAAGAACGCAGCGAAAUGCGAUAAGUAAUAUGAAUUGCAGAUUUUCGUGAAUCAUCGAAUCUUUGAACGCACAUUGCGCCCUCUGGUAUUCCAGAGGGCAUGCCUGUUUGAGCGUCAUUUCUCUCUCAAACCCCCGGGUUUGGUAUUGAGUGAUACUCUUAGUCGAACUAGGCGUUUGCUUGAAAAGUAUUGGCAUGGGUAGUACUGGAUAGUGCUGUCGACCUCUCAAUGUAUUAGGUUUAUCCAACUCGUUGAAUGGUGUGGCGGGAUAUUUCUGGUAUUGUUGGCCCGGCCUUACAACAACCAAACAAGUUUGACCUCAAAUCAGGUAGGAAUACCCGCUGAACUUAAGCAUAUCAAAAGCCGGAGGAA
rnacentral:rRNA from 1 species